rnacentral:rRNA from 1 species
GCAAUAGCUACUUGCAUCAUUGAAAAUAUGAUGCAAGAUCGACUAUGUCGAAUAAAAUUCUAGGUAGAAUUAUGAUAAUGACAUUGUCUGCCUAUGUGUCUUGACCAAAUUACGUGCCAGCAGUCGCGGUAAUACGUAGAAGACUAGUGUUAUUCAUGUUUAAUCGGUUUAAAGGGUACCUAGACGGUAAAUCAAGCCUAAAAGGAAGGAAAUAAAGGGACUAAUUUACUAGAGUUACUUAUGAGGGGGUAUUAAAGUACUGCUGGUGUAGAGAUGAAAUUCUGUCAUACCUCUUUUCAAUAGAAAAAUAAUGGCACAGGUAUAGGCGAAAGCAUCCCCUUAUGUGAUAACUGACGUUGAGGGACGAAGGCUUUGUGUAGCGAACAGGAUUAGAUACCCCAGUAGUCAAAGCAGAAAAUGAUGAAUGUCAUAGAUUAGAUAUAUAAGUUUAUUCUAUAAAUGAAAGUGUAAGCAUUCCACCUCAAGAGUAAUUUGGCAACAUUGGAACUGAAAUCAUUAGACCGUUUCUGAAACCAGUAGUGAAGUAUGUUGUUUAAUUUGAUAAUCCGCAAAAAACCUUACCACAAUUUGAAUAUUUAUAUUUUUUUUAUUGUUUUUCUUUUUAAUUUUCUUCCGAUUUUCUAGUUAAAGGAAAAUUAGAAGAAAAAGAAAAAAGAGGCAAUAAGAU